rnacentral:rRNA from 1 species
UGGACGCUAGCGGCAGGCUUAACAACAUGCAAGUCGAGGGGUAGUAGGUUUUCGGGUACCUAGAGACCGGCGCACGGGUGCGUAACGCGUAUGCAAUCUACCUUUUUACAGAGGGAUAGCCCACGAGAAAUUUGGAUUAAUAACCUCAUAGUAUAACACAACCGCAUGGUUGAGUUAUUAAAGUUCCAACGGUAUAAGAUGAGCAUGCGUCCUAUUAGCUAGAUGGUAAGGUAACGGCUUACCAUGGCUACGAUAGGUAGGGGUCCUGAGAGGGAGAUCCCCCACACUGGUACUGAGACACGGACCAGACUCCUACGGGAGGCAGCAGUGAGGAAUAUUGGACAAUGGGCGCAAGCCUGAUCCAGCCAUGCCGCGUGCAGGAAGACGCAUCUAUGGUGUGUAAACUGCUUUUGUACGGGAAGAAACACUCCUUCGUGAAGGAGCUUGACGGUACCGGUAAGAAUAAGGAUCGGCUAACUCCGUG